rnacentral:lncRNA from 1 species
CCUCUCCAGGUUUGCAGUCCAGCACAGUCUUAAGAGAUUGCAAGGAAUGGACAAUGCACUGUUCAAAAUGGGAAGGCAACGAUGUCAAGCCUUCAUUGUCAACAACCCAGUCUUCCUUUUCAGCUAGCCUCUUUAUAUCUUCAGCUGUAUGUUGUAAAGUCACUAUAAUGCAACGUACUCGAAGGUCUAAAAUAAGAUCCUGGAUGAUCUGAAGCAUAUCAUUGGGUAUCUCAAGUGCAGUAAGAGACUCAGAACUAAGCCUUACUGUCUGGAUAACAUGUGUUAGCCACUGGCCAGAAAGUUCAGAUUUCAUCUCCCAGCCACCAUACUGUCU